UACGGAGGGAGCUAGCGUUGUUCGGAAUUAUUGGGCGUAAAGAGCUCGUAGGCGGUUUGUCGCGUCUGCUGUGAAAACGCGAGGCUCAACCUCGCGCCUGCAGUGGGUACGGGCAGACUGGAGUGCGGUAGGGGAGAUUGGAAUUCCUGGUGUAGCGGUGGAAUGCGCAGAUAUCAGGAGGAACACCGAUGGCGAAGGCAGAUCUCUGGGCCGUAACUGACGCUGAGGAGCGAAAGCGUGGGGAGCGAACAGG
rnacentral:rRNA from 1 species